UACGUAGGGUGCGAGCGUUAAUCGGAAUUACUGGGCGUAAAGCGUGCGCAGGCGGUUCGCUAAGACCGAUGUGAAAUCCCCGGGCUUAACCUGGGAACUGCAUUGGUGACUGGCGGGCUAGAGUAUGGUAGAGGGGGGUAGAAUUCCACGUGUAGCAGUGAAAUGCGUAGAGAUGUGGAGGAAUACCGAUGGCGAAGGCAGCCCCCUGGGCCAAUACUGACGCUCAUGCACGAAAGCGUGGGGAGCAAACAGG
rnacentral:rRNA from 1 species